GAACGAACGCUGGCGGCGUGCCUAAAACAUGCAAGUCGCACGAGAAAGUAUUUAUACGAGUAAAGUGGCGCACGGGUGAGUAACACGUGGAUAACAUACCUUCGAGACUGGUAUAACAGUUGGAAACGACUGAUAAUCCCAGAUAAAGUUUAGAAUACAUUGGGGUAUUUUGAAUGAAAGCGGGCCUUCGGGUGUCGGCUUGAAGAGUGGUCUGCGUCCCAUUAGCUAGUUGGUGAGGUAAAGGCUCAUCCAAGGCAUUGAUGGGUAGCUGGUCUGAGAGGACGAUCAGCCACACUGGGACUGAAACACGGCCCAGACUCCUACGGGAGGCAGCAGUUAGGAAUAUUGCGCAAUGGAGGGAACUCUGACGCAGCGACGCCGCGUGAGCGAAGAAGGCCUUAGGGUUGUAAAGCUCUGUUGAAAGGGAAGAAUGCUGACGGAUGAAUAAUUUGGUUAGUUGACGGUACCUUUUAAGAAAGCACCGGCUAACUCUGUG
rnacentral:rRNA from 1 species